rnacentral:rRNA from 1 species
AGCUUGCAGUGGCGAACGGGUGAGUAACGCGUUGGUGACCUACCUCAAAGAAGAGAAUAACCUCGGGAAACUGAGGCUAAUACUCUAUGUGCUUCAAGUGGUUAGAGAUAUUUGAAGGAAAGGCUCUGUGAACGAAAGUUUACAGCGUCACUUCGGGAGGGGCCUGCGUCCCAUCAGCUAGUUGGUAAGGUAAUGGCUUACCAAGGCGACGACGGGUAGGGGACCUGAGAGGGUGGUCCCCCACACUGGUACUGAAACACGGACCAGACACCUACGGGUGGCAGCAGUAGGGAAUAUUGCGCAAUGGACGAAAGUCUGACGCAGCAACACCGCGUGUGUGAUGAAGGCCUUCGGGUCGUAAAGCACUUUUCUGAAGGAAGAGAAAGGACGGUACUUCAGGAAUAAGUCUCGGCUAACUACGUGCCAGCAGCCGCGGUAACACGUAGGAGGCAAACGUUAUCCGGAUUUACUGGGCGUAAAGCGCGUGCAGGUGGUUUGAUAAGUUGGAUGUGAAAGCUCCUGGCUCAACUGGGAGACGUCGUUCAAAACUAUCAGGCUAGAGGACAGUAGAGGAGAGUGGAAUUCCCGGUGUAGUGGUGAAAUGCGUAGAUAUCGGGAGGAACACCAGUGGCGAAGGCGGCUCUCUGGACUGUUUCUGACACUCAGACGCGAAAGCGUGGGUAGCGAACGGGAUUAGAAACCCCGGUAGUCCACGCUGUAAACGAUGCCGACUUGGUGUCGGUGGUGUCCAACCCCCUUGUGCUGCAGCUAACGCAUUAAGUUGACCGCCUGGGGACUACGGCCGCAAGGCUAAAACUCAAAGGAAUUGACGGGGACCCGCACAAGCAGCGGAGCGUGUGGUUUAAUUCGAGGCUACGCGAAGAACCUUACCUGGGUUUGACAUGUUGGUUGUAGGGAUCCGAAAGGUGACCGACCCUUCGGGGAGCCAUCACAGGUGCUGCAUGGCUGUCGUCAGCUCGUGCCGUGAGGUGUCCGGUUAAGUCCGGUAACGAGCGCAACCCUUACCGUAUGUUACAAGUGUCAUGCGGGACUGCCGGUAUAAAGCCGGAGGAAGGUGGGGAUGACGUCAAGUCAGCAUGGCCUUUAUAUCCAGGGCUACACACACGCUACAAUGGUCGGUACAAUUGGUUGCAAAGCCGCGAGGUGGAGCCAAUCCGUAAAGCCGAUCUCAGUUCGGAUUGUAGGCUGCAACUCGCCUGCAUGAAGUCGGAGUUGCUAGUAAACGCGCGUCAGCAAUAGUGCGUUGAAUACGUUCCCGGGGAUUGUACACACCGCCCGUCACGUCAUGGGAG